AUACGUAGGUGGCAAGCGUUAUCCGGAAUUAUUGGGCGUAAAGAGUGAGCAGGCGGUUAAUUAAGUCUGAGGUUAAAGCGUGGGGCUCAACCCCAUAAAGCCUUGGAAACUGAUUGACUAGAGUACGGGAGAAGUGAAGGGAACUCCAUGUGUAGCGGUGAAAUGCGUAGAUAUAUGGAAGAACACCAGUGGCGAAGGCGCUUCACUAGCCCGAAACUGACGCUCAGUCACGAAAUCGUGGGUAGCAAAUAGGAUUAGAUACCCUAGUAGUCCACGCUGUAAACGAUGACAACUAAAUAUUGCCGCGAGGCAGUGUUGAAGCUAACACAUUAAGUUGUCCGCCUGGGGAGUACGGUCGCAAGACUGAAACUGAAAGGAAUUGACGGGG
rnacentral:rRNA from 1 species